rnacentral:lncRNA from 1 species
GCCUCUUAAAAUAUUUAUUUUCUGUUGAUAAGAAAAUAGAUUCUAUUGACUUUCUAUUUUUCAUGCUACCAAAUGGCGAAAAAUAUAGAAAAUACUUUCCAGAAAACAUUUUCCGUCAAAAUAAACUGAGCGUUAUUAUCUUUAUCCAUCACCUCUCUUAAACUUCUUGUAGCGGAUGCAUCUCCAAGAAGUGACCAAGGAUUUUCAAUGCAUCUCCAAGAAGUGACCAAGGAUUGUAGAAUGCCCAAUAUCGAGCACUUCCACCAGCUGCAAUACUCGACCUUGAGGGAUAAAUAGAACUAUCCCUGAUUUUCUCGCCAAGAUUUGUUGAUUCUUGAGGCUGAGGUUUGAGGUACCACAACAGGAAGACCUUCAUCUGCAUUACAAAAUGGCCUCUCAGCAACAUCACUUGAGAGAUAAUAAAUAAGGCUAGCCUAAUUUGGCUUUUGCACUGUUAGAGAAUGGG